AGAGUUUGAUUAUGGCUCAGAACGAACGCUGGCGGCAUGCCUAAGACAUGCAAGUCGAACGAAGUCUUCGGACUUAGUGGCGCACGGGUGAGUAACAUGUGGGAAUCUACCUAAAGGUUCGGAAUAACUGCGGGAAACUGUAGCUAAUACCGGAUGUGUCCGCAAGGAGAAAGAUUUAUUGCCUUUAGAUGAGCCCGCACUAGAUUAGUUUGUUGGUGAGGUAACUGCUCCACCAAGACUACGAUCUAUAGCUGAUUUGAGAGGAUGAUCAGCCACACUGGGACUGAGACACGGCCCAGACUCCUACGGGAGGCAGCAGUCGGGAAUAUUGGACAAUGGGGGAAACCCUGAUCCAGCAAUGCCGCGUGAGUGAAGAAGGCCUUCGGGUUGUAAAACUCUUUCAUCAAUGAAGAUAAUGACAUUAAUUGAAGAAGAAGCUCCGGCUAACUCCGUGCCAGCAGCCGCGGUAAUACGGAGGGGGCUAGCGUUGUUCGGAAUUACUGGGCGUAAAGCGUAUGUAGGCGGAUCAAAAAGUUAGAUGUGAAAUCCCUGGGCUUAACCUAGGAACUGCAUUUAAAACUAGUGAUCUAGAAUUUGGUAAGGGUUAGUAGAAUUUCCAGUGUAGAGGUGAAAUUCGUAGAUAUUGGAAAGAAUACCAGUGGCGAAGGCGACUAACUGGGCCAUUUUUGACGCUGAGAUACGAAAGCGUGGGUAGCAAACAGGAUUAGAUACCCUGGUAGUCCACGCAGUAAACGAUGAGUGCUAGUCGCUGGGUCAAUAGAUUCGGUGUCGAAGCUAACGCAUUAAGCACUCCGCCUGGGAAGUACGGUCGCAAGA
rnacentral:rRNA from 1 species